rnacentral:pre_miRNA from 1 species
UUAGUACUUCCUCCGUCCCACGAUAAGUGACUUUCUAUUACAUGUAUCUAGACAUUUUUAGACAUAGAUACGUUCAUAUUUAGACAAAUUUGAGUCACUUAAUAUGAGACGGAGGGAGUACUUU